UACGGAGGGUGCAAGCGUUGUCCGGAUUUACUGGGCGUAAAGAGCGCGCAGGCGGUCGUUCAAGUCGCGUGUGAAAGCCCCCGGCUCAACUGGGGAGGGUCACGCGAUACUGAUCGACUCGAAGGCAGGAGAGGGUAGUGGAAUUCCCGGUGUAGUGGUGAAAUGCGUAGAUAUCGGGAGGAACACCAGUGGCGAAGGCGACUACCUGGCCUGUUCUUGACGCUGAGGCGCGAAAGCUAGGGGAGCAAACGGG
rnacentral:rRNA from 1 species